UCCUCAGGUGAUCUGGCCACCUUGGCCUCCCAAAGUGCGUGAGCCACUGGGCCUGGCCCAAGAUGUGACUUUAUGUAUGAGUUACACUUCCAGCUUUCUACAUUGUAUAACUCUCUAUUCAUUAUAAAACUUAAGACUUUAGGCUUCACUGCCUUCAAUUAGUCCCCUUCCCCUAUCCCGCCCCAUGCUUAUUCAUCAGCAUGAGUGAUUGCCAGAAUCAAGAUUCAGUUUCAUUUUUAUUUCUAGUAUCAACAGGCCUGUCUCUCCCUCUUUUUCUUCUUUCAGAGCUCAACUAUUCCAUUUUUAUGCAGCAUUUCUCGGCGUCUGCAGGCUCAAGAGAUUCUCCUGCCUCAGCCUAUUGAGUAUCUUGGACCACAGGAACAUGCCACUGUGCCCAGCCGGAUAUGAGUUUAAAUCUACCAUUUUCUAGGCUUAUUGAAAUAUCAAGAUAUUUAAAAAAUAAAAUAAAAAUAAAAAAACAUGUGAAUGAA